GACGUAGGGUGCGAGCGUUGUCCGGAUUUAUUGGGCGUAAAGAGCUCGUAGGCGGCUCGUCGCGUCGACCGUGAAAACCAGCAGCUUAACUGCUGGCUUGCGGUGGGUACGGGCAGACUAGAGUGUGGUAGGGGGAGACUGGAAUUCCUGGUGUAGCGGUGAAAUGCGCAGAUAUCAGGAGGAACACCGAUGGCGAAGGCAGGUCUCUGGGCCACUACUGACGCUGGAGAAGCGAAAGCGUGGGGAGCGAACAGG
rnacentral:rRNA from 1 species